ACGUUAGCGGCGGACGGGUGAGUAACACGUGGGUAACCUACCUAUAAGACUGGGAUAACUUCGGGAAACCGGAGCUAAUACCGGAUAAUAUUUCGAACCGCAUGGUUCGAUAGUGAAAGAUGGUUUUGCUAUCACUUAUAGAUGGACCUGCGCCGUAUUAGCUAGUUGGUAAGGUAACGGCUUACCAAGGCGACGAUACGUAGCCGACCUGAGAGGGUUAUCGGCCACACUGGAACUGAGACACGGUCCAGACUCCUACGGGAGGCAGCAGGC
rnacentral:rRNA from 1 species